GUCCCACGCCGUAAACGAUGAUGACUAGCUGUCGGGGCGCUUAGCGUUCCGGUGGCGCAGCUAACGCGUUAAGUCAUCCGCCUGGGGGAGUACGGCCGCAAGGUUAAAAACUCAAAGAAAUUGACGGGGGGCCUGCACAAGCGGUGGAGCAUGUGGUUUAAUUCGAAGCAACGCGCAGAACCUUACCAGCGUUUGACAUGCCAGGACGGUUUCCAGAGAUGGAUCCCUUCCCUUACGGGACCUGGACACAGGUGCUGCAUGGCUGUCGU
rnacentral:rRNA from 1 species